AGUGAACGCUGGCGGUAGGCCUAACACAUGCCAGUCGAACGGCAGCACAGUAAGAGCUUGCUCUUACGGGUGGCGAGUGGCGGACGGGUGAGGAAUACAUCGGAAUCUACUUUUUCGUGGGGGAUAACGUAGGGAAACUUACGCUAAUACCGCAUACGACCUACGGGUGAAAGCAGGGGAUCUUCUGACCUUGCGCGAUUGAAUGAGCCGAUGUCGGAUUAGCUAGUUGGCGGGGUAAAGGCCCACCAAGGCGACGAUCCGUAGCUGGUCUGAGAGGAUGAUCAGCCACACUGGAACUGAGACACGGUCCAGACGCCUACGGGAGGCAGCAGUGGGGAAUAUUGGACAAUGGGCGCAAGCCUGAUCCAGCCAUACCGCGUGGGUGAAGAAGGCCUUAGGGUUGUAAAGCCCUUUUGUUGGGAAAGAAAAGCAGCAGGUUAAUACCCCGCUGUUCUGACGGUACCCAAAGAAUAAGCACCGGCUAACUUCGUG
rnacentral:rRNA from 1 species